CAGAUGUUUGUCUGAAGCCAUUGGACAGAAAGUGUUCUGAAACCUUAAGAACAAUGGCAUACUUAUGUCCUGCAAGUGAAGAAGAACUUGUAAGGUCAAGUGUAAGCUCUUGGCUAUUUUUCCAGCACUAUAACUCCUGCCUGCCACCAUGCUCCCCAGCAGGAUGAUCCUGGACUCACCUUCUGAAACUACUCUAGUGGAACCACAGAUCAGUGUAUAACUUUCUGCUACAGACUGUAGAGAUCGUGGUUUGAAAGAUAAUGUCGGAGACAGAAUCGCAGAGUAAAAGGCACUUGUUUCAAGGCCAGUUUGAUCUGAGUUUCCUGAAAUUCUGUUCUCCAUCCUGAGACAUCUUUCGGGUCUGGCAAAAAAAAAAUGUAACUCUGCUGUAUCCAUCCUAAAGAAGCAUGGUUCUCACUGGCCACCUUUGAUGGGCACUGUAGCAUAGCUCCCUUCUCUCCACUGGAGGGAUGCCCCUGAAGAGCUGCACUGCAGUUCAAGAAGAAGACAACCCCAUGCCUUUGCAGAGGCAAAUGACUGCUCAUUUGGGAGUGUGUAACUAAUUCUAUCAAUUUCUGAAAUCAUGGCAUCUGUAAAGGGAGACACAGGGAGAAAGAGCCUUGUAAAAUAGUAUGGCCAUCGAUAAGUGUCUGAUCACAAUAGACGAACAUGUAUUUGUUGCACUUAGAUUCACACAAAAUCUCCCAGCUUCCAAGAUCCAGUGCUCCACUAAGUCCUCAGACCUAGUUACCACAUGCUUUCAGCUGUGGAAGCAACGCUGUGAGUCUCUGCUCUGAUUUAAUGUGUGAUGCUAUUAGGAAGAAUCUUGUAAUGCUACUGGGUCUCGGAAGCAGCAACUGUGGUGUUUGAUUGGUCCUGUGUAACCAGGAUUAGGCUAGGCCCAGAACAAGGGUCUAAUGAGACUGUAGGGACAGUAAAUCAGUGCAUGAGUGGCAGGCAGACAGGCAUGAAUUUGAACUGUCUCAAGGCAGGGGAAGGUGACGCUGCUGCUGUUGGCCAGAGGAGAUGCCUUACAAAAUCAUCCUGGCAAAACUACACAUGCACUACUCACACAUGGACUUGAACAAGACUCAGUACAGGGUUUCCUUGCUUUUAGAGAAAAGGUGAGCCUCUCAGAGGAGUUAUAACCAAUUAAGAGCUGGGACACAGGGAAGGUGGCUGCAGAGCACUGAGCUGACAAACUUAGUCUCAAAACAUUUUCUUUCUGACAGUCUUGGUGUUUAACACAUACUCUAGGGGAGCCUGAUGGCUCUUCCUUCUCCUCACGCCACUUCUAUGGCAACACACUUACCUUGGGAGGAUACAUUAGGGAAUAGUUAAAACCAGAGACUGUAGCAUCAGACAGAUCAAAAUUCAAGCCCCAGACCACUGAGGCAAAUUAUCCUGGGAAAAUUAGCAAACAUCUGAGCUAGCUCAUUGCAUAUAAGGGAUGCAACUCAAGUAGAAAUAAAGUACCUGACACAUAGCAAAUGUUCAGUGUGACCAAAAUUGUCAUCGUUACUGUAAUUAAUUUGGGUUUGAAUUUUGCAAGUGAUAAAAAUGAAACAGUGCUGGCUUAAGCAAAAUAGUAACAACAUCAAUACAAGUGUGACUUACAGAAAUCACAAGUAGAAAUGUGCACGGGCCUCAGGGACAUCCAGUCACCAUUGUCUUCCAUUGCUCAUCUGCUGUACAAGUCUCCCUGAACUGCAUAUUUGCCUCAUCCCCCUCGGGGUUGAGAAAAAGCCAUCUCCCACCUCCUAACCUGCCAUCCUGCAGCUUCAACUUUCCCAAAAGAGACCAGCCAGAACCUUUUUCCUGUUCUUGAUGUCAUAGACUCCAAUGCAUUCACCUGGCAUGGCUAGAGGCAGGGGUCAAGUGACACUUGUGGUCCCCAGGAAGUAGCAGAUGUGGAGAGUCGCUGGAUUUCUGGGAGAGAAAUUAUGGCCAGAUGUUACAAAAGUACUUUCAAACUAGUAUAAUGGUGGAAGUGCGAUAUUUUUUAAAGUGAGAAG
rnacentral:lncRNA from 1 species